CGUCGCCUCCCUCCCUUCCUGCUUCUCUCGUCCCUCCCCCAUCAUCCCCGGCCGCUCUCUCCCCCUCUCUCGGCCCAAGCCUGGGGGAGCCAGUGGAGAUUAAAUGUAGCCUCCAUAAGCCAAGCACAUCAUGUAGCUAUGUUUCUAGGGCCAGCUUGCUCUCUCUCUCCCUCUCUCUCUCUCUCUCUCUCAUUCUCUUUUUAAAGUCUUGUUAAUUAUGCCAGGAAUGCUGGUAACAAUGCCAGAGAAAAGACAGUGUGGCUAGGAAAUCCAUGCAAGGAAGAAAAAGAGGAUGGCACGAAAUAGAGCAACUUGACAAGACACUGGGGCUUGAAAUAAAAAAGAGAGAGGGGGAGGAAAUCAAAAAAGGUGGAAAAGCGCAAGACGGACGACUUUCUCAUUCCCCUCCUCCUCCUCUCCCCUCAUCUCUUUCUCUCUCUGGCUCUGGGGUUGAUACGGCAGAGAGGUGGGCCUCCGACUUUAACUAAUCACAGCUGUGUGAGCAAAUUAAUGGAUGAUACUUGUUCUUUUACUCCUUCUCUUUCUCUUUUUCUCUCUGUCUCUCUGUAACUUUUUUUUUUUAUCUUUUUUUUCUUCUGCCACUGAACAUGGAUUUAUAAAGACAGAGAAAGACCAGGGGGUAUCAUGCUUUUUCCUCCAACACCCCCCUCUUCAAUUUUGCUUGGUGAGAGAUCGAAUGAGAGGAAAAGUGUGUGUGCGGCGGGAAAGGGAGAGCGAGAAAAAGAGAGAGAGAGAGAGAGAGAGCGCGAGAGCGUGAGGGAGGGAGAAAUGUAAGACAGAUACGGAGAGUGAAAGAGAAGAAGGGGGUGUGGAGAGCAGAGAGAGGCAGCACAAUGCGCUGAUGCCUCUUUCCAGUCGAAUGUUUUUCACCACUUUUUCUUGUCAAGGGGAUUUUGCGUUUUUGCUCGGCGCAGCUGCUGGUUAUCUCCCUUUCUCUUUAUUCCUUGUUUUUUCCGCUGGAGCCAGAGCUGAACCAGGGAUAUACGCAUGAAUGGAGCGUCCAUAGCUAACCAGCGCUGGAUGAGCAAGCAGGUUUGUGGGCGAAGGGCGCUCGGCUGUAUCCUCGCCGCUAACGCAACCCGGGGGUCCUGCCCAGCGCUGGAAUGCACAGAUAGGUCAGCUCUCUCGUCCUCUCCCCUCAGCUUGGCCUCCACACACACGUGCUCCGGACGCAGCACAGUGCUUCAUUGAGAGCGCUCAGGUCCAUGUUGCUUUAUGAGAAGACAGGGUGGAAAUCCCCUCUGAGUGCAGUUCUUUGGCUCAUCUCACUGGCUUUUUGCUCGUUGCUUCCACACGCUUCGUGACUGGGCUGCAUGCUGUUUGCUAACAUUACAUUAGCGAGGUGCUAAUUAAAUACCUCACGGAUGGAGGGUACUUGUGAGGAAGUGAACCCAGUAGCUACAUUUGAGUCUGUUCCAGUGUUUGCAUUGGUAACAUUCAGAGUGAUUGCAGAUACUGAAUCAUUUAUUUUUGGUACAGUAACAUCUAAGUUGCUGUUACAGUUUUCCUAUAAUCUCCCAGGAAUGGAAUCGUCCUUCUGUUAAGAUGCGUGUAUUAAAAUCUCGUGUUAAAUGGCCAAAUGCCAGAUUGUGCUGUACUUUAAUUGUAAAGUUGGCUCCAGUUAUUGAAGUAUGUUAUUGAAGUAAACAUUACUUCAUGUUACAGUUACAUACUGUAAGCCGCUGUUACAUUCUGAAAAGGUGUUGAAGGCUUUUUGCAUGGUGGGAUGACUGUUCUCUGUUCCUCACCUGUUGUACAUGCUUCUUUAAAAAAAAACAUUUUUUUUAAAAUCUGGCUCUACCAGCUCCAAAAAUGAUUCUGCUUUUGUUACAAGUCAGAACAUUUUGGUACUAAAUAUAACCCUUUUUCGUGAAUUCCUGUCGCUACAGCCUGUGGUGUUAAUUUGGCAUUCGGUUAAAUGAAUUGUGAAUUUGACAGCCUCGUCGUUUCCUGGGUAAUUCUGUUAUUGUGGAGAAAUACCAAGUCUGGCUCUCAGGCCGUGCCUCUUUCUCAGACAUGGCCUCAGUGGGUUUGCUUUAGCCUGAUUAAUUUGUCAUUAAUAUGCAGCCUGUCAGUGUUGGCUGUGGCCGUUUUCUCUCUGAAGUGCGGGACUCUGUAGCUAUAGUGAUGCUGUAGUCCCUCCAACGCAAGUCUCUGAGAUUUGCAUGACAGUGGCUGACGAUUGUUUCUCAGUGCCUUGCCAGGAGCAGUUAGUAGCCAAGUCUCUAGCUAGUGAGAAAAGGGUGUUGGCAGCUCUGUCUCUCACUCUGUCGCCCGUGUGUGUGUGUGUGUGUGUGUGU